rnacentral:lncRNA from 1 species
UUUUUUUUUGGUAUUCUUUCGCACAUGGGACUCCAGCCAUAAGGCGCAUUUACAUAAUGUUAUUAUUGAUGGAUUAAGUGAUUGAAGAGAAUAACUCAGACUCGUAAACUACCUUUCCAACAAGGAGAAGCUAAGACCCUUUAGCCUAGAGGUUGUAACAUGGUGGCUUAAGACAUUCUUCAUUUAAGAGCCUUUGUGUAAGUCCUGCCAGAGUCCAUUUCUCCUCACUCCCCAUCGGCUUACACCUGGCCCCCUUCUCUCGGUGGCGGUACCCACCUGGUCCCAGAAACUGUAUGCAUCUUUAGAAACCAGUGUCCCCUCUUUCCAGACGGGAAAAUGCAAGAAUGGAGGGCUUAAGCAGCUUGUUCCAAUACAAUACUCUUCCAAGAAGUCCACAUUCGGGGUUCCUUUUCUUUAGCACUACAGCACUACGGGUCCAGCUACAGGCCAACAUCUCCCGGUUCCUAGUCAGAUUUGUUUCUGCUGCACCACAACGGGAACGCCAAACAUCUCCUAAGAUGGUAGUAAACUCGACUUCCACAGACCAGCUUCACCACCCACAUCCUAAAAGGCAUGUAGAUUCCUAGGACCUGGUCAACUCCAAGAACCCGGGGACAGCCUUUCCCAAAGGGGAGAGGUCUUUGCAGGACUUACGGCACAGUCCCCAGAUGGGCCCCUACUAUCUGCCUGGGUGUAAUCAUGGAGGAUACGGGGCUGACUCAACACACCCAUAUAUCAAAGUCAACCGUCUUGUGGGGUCCAGGGAACUUUGUAUCAUUGCCUUCAGGGCAGCCCAAGGCUUUGGGAGUAAACAUCCUGACCCAGCCUGACCAAAUCAUGUACUUCCCCAACUCAAUUCCCAGGUAGCACCCACCCUGGAGCUCCAAUCCCAGCCAUGUGUUUGACCUGAACAGAGAAAGUCACAUCCCACCUUCUCCCUGGGGCUCUCUCACUUGCACGGGGCAUCAGUGUUCUUCCCUAUGUUGGCCAGCUUUCUGACUGUUUUCUCGAGAAGCACUCAAUACCCACACUGACUGCAUUGGCAAGAUGCACAACCACCACAGCUCGACCAGCACCAACCCUCGGAUGUGUGGCCAGGAAGGUAUCGUGAUACUCUGCUCAGACUUCAAUGUAAUUCUAAGAAGGAGAAACUGCAUUCAACGAAGAGUCGGAGGAACUCAGGAGUGUUCAAGUAAAAGGGGAACAAGAAAGGCAACCACUCGGCAAGAGGGGUCGUGAGCUGCUGAAGGGAAACUCUAGGUCAGGUGGUGGUGGGUGGGCUCAGCCUCCUUAGGGCAGAGUGCCUCACUCACAAUGCCCCCGAGAAGGGAUGUUUUGGAGAGGUGCACUUGGCAAUCUGGGAUCUCAAUGUACAAAUAUGUAUGGAGAGCUUUCAGCCCAUCAUGGAAUGUGCUAGGUCCUGUGGAGGUUUUAGAGAGGAAGGCACUGUGAUUCUCUGGCUCAGAGAGCUUACCAACUAGUAAAGAACCCAGGACAGGGUGGCACGUACCUGUACUCCAUGGCACCGUAUGGGUGUGAUGUGAAAGGUACAGACUAAUUUCAGAAAGGGCACCAAGGAUGCAGGAGCAAGAUUUACUCUAUCAAGUUGAGAUCAUGACCAUUUGGAACUUCAUCAUCUUUUCCAAGAAAACUAGGAAAAAGGAAGUGAGGGACACCCAUGGUGGAGAUGACUCGGUGUAAAAAUGACCUGAUGGGGAUUCGACCCGCAGAGACAUUUAAGAUUUUCUUUUUAGGAACCAAGAGAAAGAAGCGUAGGCAUCCAGGAAGUAAUUAAUAUUGAACCGAGGCAAGGAUUGACCCAGGGCUGGUAACAGGACACCCCCAAAGUGUGCAGAUGAAUAAGUGAGAGGAAAAUAUCAUUAGGGACUAGAGACCUGGCCGGAAGACUCGUGGCUCCCUAAUAUUGUGUAUUUGCAUUAAAAUGUGAGCAGAAAUAACACCAAUUAGAGUUCCAAAGAAUGAGCCAAUAACUGACUUUCUCCCUCUUUCAUUAGCCCAAAUAGCCCUUUAUUCAAGGAGCUCAAAGUAUCUCACAUUUUUAUCUCUGGAUCCCCACAACCCAACUCCAUACUAGGAACAUACUAGGUGUUCAGUUAAGUGUUGAAUUAAGGAAUGGAAGCAUGAACCCCAAGCAAACACAAGAGCAAGAGUAUAAAGGCGGCUCUAGCAGUCGAACUGACAUCCACUCAUAUGCAUUUAACUUUCUGUCAAGAAUAAUGUCUCUGAAUACCAGUUUCCUCAUCAAGACAGAGAUAAUUAUAGAGACCUCCCUGGACUCUGCAAGGAUUAAAUGACCCAGGAAAAUACUUUGUAAGCUUGGAAAGCACCAAAAUAUAUCCCUUUCCAAAUUGAUACUGUGUUUACACAAUGAAGAUGCUUUUUAUUGGGAAACCAGAGAGUCACCUUUAAGCCCUCCUUGUCCUGUUUUGCCCCAUCUGGGAACAGUCCCAUCAAGUCCAUUAUGGGUGGGCAAGCUGCCCUCACCACUAACUCCUAUGCAAGGAAGCAGUCACAAAAAACUUGAUGAGGAGGGUUAACCAGCGAUGUCGGCAGGGCUGUUCUGGGCACACGGAGCCAAGGAGUUUCUUAGUCUGCUACUUGCAAGCAGGAAGUUCCCUUAUCCCCACUCUGGGUUUGCUGAGCCCUAGAAUUAAGGUGUCAGAUGGAGAUGCAGGCUUUGUUCACAUGGAAAAGCUGCUGAUUUAACAACUUUUAUAUCUACGCGCACCCAAGCAUGCACGGCCGACACUUGUCUGCUCUUGACAAGAUAACUGGGCCAUGUGGUGACAAUAUUAAUUAGACAAUUGCUGCUGAAGAAGAAAUUUGCACAGCUCUCCACCUGUUUUCCCUUGAGACUCGGUUCGCCUACAACCAACAGCCAACCGGGUCUGAUGGGUCAAAUGGUACGGUUGUCGUGUUCUCCAGGGUAGCAGUUCCAGAAGAAACACUGGAGCUGCAGAAGACCUGGCAGCCUCCUGGGAUGGAACCCAGCCUCUAGAACCUUCUUCGCAAAGCAUUCACUGUCCAGAAGUUGAACACCAAACCCUAGGCUGGCCACUCGGAACUCUUCAGCAGUCUUAUUGGGGCAGUAAGUGAACAACAUGGCAUUAGGCUGGGCAUCCUUGUAGACAUGGGUUCAAACCCAAGGUCUGCCUUGUGCGAGCUGUGUGAUCCUGAACUACAUAAUUUACUCUUCUUUCCAUACCAUGAGAAUAUUAUUUCCUUCCCUAUAGAACUGUGUUGAGAAUUAAAUAAAAUUACGUAUGUCUAACUUCUCUCCCCUGGCUAUUUGCCCUUCUCCUUACCCUCCUAAGUGCUAGCUGAGCCAGUCGAUGCACUAUCGCUAGAACAGUUACUUUCUCACACACAUGCGUGGCUCCACCAUACACCAUCACCUGGACCUGCUCCCCUUUCCCGUCUCCAGAUUAACCUUAUCCCAUAAGCCUCCGCGCAUACCCUCCGUCCUGGCAGCGUCCUCCAGGCUCCCCAGCUGAACAGGACCCCUCCUUUUUCUGAAAUGCCAUGGCCCUAUUACUAGGGAUCUUUCCGAUGCAUGUGACCAAACUCUUGAGGGAGGCAAUUGGUUUGUAUGCCCCUUGGGACUCUGUUUUGGAUGGAGCUGCAGAGCCUAUUACUUCAUGGAACUGAGCCCAUGCCACCUGCCAUCCUUUACAGAACUUAAACACUGAGGGACCGAAUCUCAGUAUUCCUGACAGCGCAUCUGCAGGAAAAGCCCCUCUGCCACUGCUGUCUUUCAGAAGCAUGUAAAACUCAUCUCUUCUAUGCCUGGCAGGCAUAGAAAAGUCACUUUUUAAUCAUCUCUGUGUCAAUCCAGUCUGCAGUGAACAUCCUGCUCAUUUAUCCAACAAGUGUUUCUUGAGUCCUGCUGUGUCCCAUGUCUUUCUCUGCAGUCCUUUAAAAAUCACUGCUCAGGUCACGAGCUGGUCUCUGAGCUCUCCCGGAAGCAGAAUCCCUGAAGGAAUUGACUCAAAAUGCACGCAGCCUCCUGGCCUCAACUCCAGAACCCCUGCAUCAGAGUCAAGAGGGCUGGUGCCUAUAACCUUCCUUUUAAUGAGCUCCCAUUGUGAGUCUCAAGCACAUAGAAUUUAAGAACUAAGUCUCUAUGGAGUUUCCCUUGUGGCUCAGUGGGAAUUCACAGGCCAAAUCCUAAUAUUCCGAGAUCUGUUGAACUGGAUCUCCUACACUCUUUCCAUUAAAAAAAAAAGAUAAGUGGUUCGAUUCAAUGAGGCAAAAUAAAUAGCAGCUGGUCGUGACUGUGACUGCCUGAGACCUGCAUUUCCAAGUGGUUUCCAAUCACUAAUUCAUCUUGUACUAGCGGAGAGUUAAGCUAGCGGAGAGUUAAAGCUAAUCUGGGAGUUCCCAUCCUGGCGCAGUAGUUAACAAAACCGACUAGGAACCAUGAGGUUGUGGGUUCAAUCCCUGGCCACACUCAGUGGGUUAAGGAUCCGGCGUUGCCAUGAGCUGUGCUGUAGGUCACAGAUGCAGCUCGGAUCUGGUGUUGCUGUGGCUCUGGCUUAGGCCAACAGCUACGGCUGCAAUUAGAUCCCUAGCCUGGGAACCUCCACAUGCCUCGGCGGGUGCAGCCUUAGAAAAGACAAAAAGACAAAAAAAAUAAGCUAAGUCUGAAAAGGCAGAUCAUCCUGUCCGGGCCUGACCUGGAGAGUCUGCUGUAGCCAAGCCAAACCUAAAACGCCGCCAUAACUCACUUUUUUCUUUCACUUCUCUUUUAUUGCAUUUACAGGAUCCCUGUGGAUUCUCCCACUUGUCUCAAUUCAGGAGUCUGGAUUUCCUGGGAUUCCUGAAAACAUCUCUAGAAACCGAUAGGAAGAUGGGGCUGUCAACACCAGGCGGGAUGGGUCAGCGGGCUCUUGAAGGCGGGGGCCUCAGAGCAGAAGGGGAUGCCCAGCACCCCUACAUCCUGCUGAGUUCUGGGGAGAGACUGGUGGGGAUUGGGGACCUCAGCUGCAGACCAGCUGUGCUCAGAGGGGAGAGGAAGUCCUCACACCUUUGUUUUAUGUUUUGCUUUUUAAGGCCGCACCCACUGCACAUGGCAGUUCCCAGGCUAGGGGUCAAAUCGGAGCUGCAGCUGCCAGCCUAGGCCUCAGCCACAGCAACACCAGAUCUGAAUCUGCAACUUAUGCCACAGCUCACAGCAAUGCCGGAUCCUUAACCCACUGAAAGGGGCCAGGGAUCAAACCUGCAUCCUCAGGGAUACUAGUUGGGUUUGUUUCCGCUGAGCCACCAUGGAAAAUCCUCAGCUUUGGAGCACCUCUGAUGGGAGGGCGCUGUGGUCUAGAGAAGAUACAAGACUUGAGUGAUGCCCUGGGGCCAUAUUUUUUCUACAUUGUGUCUAAUGCCUCUUGCCUACUAGAAAACAUCACGUCUAGAAUUACCUAACGCGGGAGCUGAUGCUUUUACAUCUGUCGUAUUUCUUGAAUCUCUCCUUUCUUCUCCAGUUCCACAGCUAGGAUCUUAGCCCAAGCCUCAACUACCAUAGUGGACCUGGCGCUGGCUGCCUGUCCUGCCUCCUUUCUGGCCCCCUCUCUGAUUUCCUUUCCACACUGAAAUAGGGGACAGGGUGUCACAGGCACCUGUGACCACAGCACCUGCUCUCUGCAAAAGCCAUUCAGAGACUUCCCAUUGCCAGCAGGACAUGGGCUCAGCUCUGUCACUUGUCACUCAAGGCCCUUCUCUCCAGCCUCAUCUGUCCCCUCUCCUAUGCUCAACAAUCCUGACCAAAGAUGAGGACAGGUAUGGACUCUCAGAGCAAACCUGGCAUGCAUGCUUACCUCACAGCCAUCUUUCAGGUCCCUGGGCUGCUGCCCUCCUCAGAAGCCGGCCUCAACCUCCUGAGACGAGAUUAAGCAUCUCGUCCACCUGCUGCUGCCUGCUGGGCCCACCCCAUUGCCGUUCUUAGCUAUACUGCCCUGAAAUCGCUCAGUUAUCCUUUCUGCUUUCCCUACUGGACUGAAUUCCUUGAAGGCACAGACUCUGCCAUCGCCAUGUCCCCAGGAACUAGCCUGGUGCCAGCCCACAGCACCCACCCCAGAAAGGCCAGCGGCAUCACGCAGGGCUGCCCAAAGAGGGGAAUGUGUGUCUGCCCCACUGGUCCUCAUGACAGCACCAAGCACCAGGCACUCUUGGCCUCUGCUCGCCAAGAAGAGGCGGUAGGUGGAGUAGGGUGGCAAGUCCAGCUGCACUGAUGCAAUUCUGCUCUGCCACUUCAAGUCACUUAACUCCCUGUACGCCCUUCUUACCUGCUUCCUCAUCUGUAAAAUGGGCUCCCCAUGGGACUGUGAUGAGGAUUGGAGAGAAAAGCUGUGAGAAGUGUCUGAGCUGAUAGACAGCAGAGUGGAGAGGUUGAGAGCACCGGGACGUUAAGCCAGCAAGCAACCUCGGGCAGUGCAGCUCAUAUAAGCCUCAGUUUUCUCAUCUGUAAAAUGGGACCAACAGCCACAUCUGCAAUGCCAAACUGCCUCCUCUAAAUAGGGCAAGGAGCUUCCUGCUGCCUUGGGCACAGGGAGGAGUGGCUGAGUGGAUGGGUGAGCCUAGGCCAACAAGCUGAGCAGGUAUGGUUUGGUCC